UACGUAGGGUGCAAGCGUUAAUCGGGAUUACUGGGCGUAAAGCGUGCGCAGGCGGUUUUGUAAGACCGAUGUGAAAUCCCCGGGCUUAACCUGGGAACUGCAUUGGUGACUGCAAGGCUUGAGUGUGUCAGAGGGAGGUGGAAUUCCGCGUGUAGCAGUGAAAUGCGUAGAUAUGCGGAGGAACACCGAUGGCGAAGGCAGCCUCCUGGGAUAACACUGACGCUCAUGCACGAAAGCGUGGGGAGCAAACAGG
rnacentral:rRNA from 1 species